AUGCAGUGGCUGCAGAGCUGGGAGCAUGAGACACUCCACCUCUGCACAAGAGAGGAGAACAGAGAGAGAGAGAGACAUCAUCAGUGAUGGGGAUUUCAGGAGACAACCAUUCCUUCUGCGUCCAUCAUGCAUUCACUUCAGAUCAAAACCGUUCUACAGUUUCCAAAUGCUUUUUCAUUCUAAAGGUAAAACAUUUCACAGGAAGAUGUGAAGGCCAUCAGUGGGUGCCUACUGCAGGACGCGCCUGUGUCUGAGCUCUAGGGCCACAAAGAUCCAGCAUUUCAGAGCAGAGGUGUGAAACCCAGCACAAGCAAUGCUCCUGCCUUUCCCAGUGCACUGGAGGAACAUGCAUGGUUUCACUGAGCAGGUAAAGAAAAUUUUGACGGGGACCGCCCACCAGAACUGCAAUGAAGUAGAACUGGAGAGCAGAGGAUAGCUCUACUCUCUCUAGACACAGCUCUUGAAGAAAUCAUCUGGUCUACAGCAGCCAGCCAGCAUAAAUAUCUGCUUUGAAGUAAUC
rnacentral:lncRNA from 1 species